GGAGCCGGAGCGCGCCGGGCCAGAGCCGCGCCAGAGGCUGAGGCGGUCGCUGGGGAGGUGAGGCGCGCUCUUCCCUGCUCGCCUCCGCUCCGCCGAGGCUGAAAUUCGGGUGGGUGACCCCGCCCCGGCGCCUGCUGAGCCCUGGCACCCAGGACCCAGGGCCGUGGCGCUCUAUGGGCGGGAAGGGCCCGAAAGGACAGCGCCUGAGAGCAUGGAUGGGCACCUUGGGCUCGAUGUGCUCCAACCAGGGAUCAAACCUGAAACUUGGGCAUGUGCCCUGACCGGGAAUCGAACCUGCAACCCUUUGAUGCACGGGACAUUGCUCCAAUCAACUGAGUCACACCAGCCAGGGCAAGGAGGUUUUGCUUUUUGACUCAAAUUAGACAGGAGAGCCACAUUCUGGCUCUCCAUUACUAGCGGGUACCUUAGACAAGUCACCUGAUGUCCCUAACUUAGUCCCACAGUUCUGAGGGCCAGAUGGGAGGAGUGAAUGAGAGUUUUGUAAGGCUGUGUGCAGAUGUCUAGUGUUGAUUUUAAAUGCUGAGGGGCCACGGCAGGUAGGUGAGGACCAUCAGGGAAGGCUUCCAGGCUUUGGAAACGAGGGCAUGGAUCGCUGGGUGCAGCUCGUGGUGAAGGGCACUGGACUGGCUGGAGUGCUCAAGCGGGCGAGCAUCUUGCUGAGCCUGGUUUGGGAGGCACAUUUGUAACAACGGGUGGUAGACUCCUUGACCUCAGCUUCUUUCAUCCGCAGGAAGGACUCCCCCUGGCCCCGUGUAAAGACUGUCCUGGGAGGGGACGGGGCAGUGAAGCUCAGUUCCCCCAUUGCCCUGACCUGCUCCGCUCCCUCCCUGCAGCGCAUAUCUCAGCUCACCAGAGGGAGCAGGCCAGACUCUGUGGCCUCCACUGAAUGUGUGCAACAGGGUGUCUCCAAGCCUCGCCACUUAGGACCCUCACAAGUCCCUGAUCUUGUGGUUCCUCAGCACUGUCAGGAGAAAUUCUAUGAUCUUGCUUAUUCCUGUCUUGGGGAGUCCUUCCCAAUGUCUAACCAGGAUCCAGACUGCCGAUGCGCCAGUUCCUUGACCCUUGGCUUGACUUGACUGAUUUGAAAGGUUUUAAAGCCCUUGGAGAAGUGAACUGUGGGGCCUCCAAGCUGCUGGCUCCCCGCCCCAGAUGGGGCAGGAAAGGACUGACCGCCACAGCUGUGCGUCGGACUCCUGGUUUCUGUGCAGCCUCUCAUUGGACCCUUUCCCGGGCACAGCUCCCCACACCCCAGGAAGGAAGGAAAUGGCCUUGAUCAGGCACCUACUUGCCUGUACCAAAAAGGAGAACCUGCUUCACCAGUUGGCCUGGGUUUCCUCUAAGAAGCCUUCCUGGAUUGACUGAAAGAUGAGGCUAAAUUCUACUAAGUUGACUGCCUCCUCCAAGAAGGCUUUGAGGGGGACGGAAGGGGGAGACCCCAGCCUCCAGCCCGCACAGCCCACUGCACCCGGAGCCCCUGGAAUAAGACUUGGCUUCGCCCUUGCUCCCGUCCCGUCCCAUCCCGGUUCCUCCUGUGUCGUCUGAGAUGGAAGUCCCACCUCCCGUCUAAUAAAGACUCCUGACUCCUGAA